rnacentral:rRNA from 1 species
AUACAGAGGAUCCGAGCGUUAUCCGGAUUUAUUGGGUUUAAAGGGUGCGCAGGCGGCCAUUUAAGUCAGCGGUUAAAUCGUGGGGCUCAACCCCAUUCUGCCGUUGAUACUGGGUGGCUUGAUUGCGGUCGAGGUUGGCGGAAUUCGUUGUGUAGCGGUGAAAUGCAUAGAUAUGACGAAGAACACCGAUUGCGUAGGCAGCUGACCAGACCGCAAAUGACGCUCAUGCACGAAAGUGCGGGGAUCGAACAGGAUUAGAUACCCUGGUAGUCCGCACAGUAAACGAUGAAUACUUGUUUUCGGCGAUAUAAUGUCGGAGGCAAAGCGAAAGCGAUAAGUAUUCCACCUGGGGAGUACGCCGGCAACGGUGAAACUCAAAUGAAUUGACGGGG